GGCGAUUAUUUAGUGGUAUUCAGAGGGUAGUUUAAUUUAGAAUUCUAGCUUUGGGAGCUAGUGGUGGGAGUUAAAAUCUCUUCCCUCUG